rnacentral:rRNA from 1 species
GACGAACGCUGGCGGCGUGCCUAAUACAUGCAAGUCGAACGCAGUGGGGACGGGUGAUUAACACGUGGGUAACCUCCCAUCAGAGGGGAUAACACUUGGAAACAGGUGCUAAACCGAUAUUGAUGGUUGGACCCGCGGUGCAUUAGCUAGUUGUGGGGGUAACGGCUCACCAAGGCCAGGAUGCAUAGCCGACCUGAGAGGUGGAUCGGCCACACUGGGACUGAGACACGGCCCAGACGCCUACGGGAGGCAGCAGUAGGGAAUCUUCGGCAAUGGACGAAAGUCUGACCGAGCAACGCCGCGUGAGUGAAGAAGGUUUUCGGAUCGUAAAACUCUGUUGUUAGAGAAGCGGUAUCUAACCAGAAAGCCACGGCUAACUACGUGCCAGCCGCCGCGGUAAUUC